rnacentral:rRNA from 1 species
GAUGAACGCUGGCGGCGUGCUUAACACAUGCAAGUCGAACGGAAAGGCUCCUGCUUGCAGGGGUACUCGAGUGGCGAACGGGUGAGUAACACGUGGGUGAUCUGCCCUGCACUUCGGGAUAAGCCUGGGAAACUGGGUCUAAUACCGGAUAGGACGAUGGUUUGGAUGCCAUUGUGGAAAGUUUUUUCGGUGUGGGAUGAGCUCGCGGCCUAUCAGCUUGUUGGUGGGGUAAUGGCCUACCAAGGCGUCGACGGGUAGCCGGCCUGAGAGGGUGUACGGCCACAUCGGGACUGAGAUACGGCCCAGACUCCUACGGGAGGCAGCAGUGGGGAAUAUUGCACAAUGGGCGCAAGCCUGAUGCAGCGACGCCGCGUGGGGGAUGACGGCCUUCGGGUUGUAAACUCCUUUCGCUAGGGACGAAGCGCAAGUGACGGUACCUGGAGAAGAAGCACCGGCUAACUACGUG